CCGCUUCCGGGGCAGAUAUGGCCAUGGGUGCUGUGCCCACUUGGUGCCGAUUUCAAAUGCUUAUGGGUAGAUUGAAGAGUAUUGCACUGAAUAGGAGUAGUCGAUAUUUCAGUACUUCGGGUAUCCAGUAUGUCUCGCUGCACUAACUGCAGCGGGAAUAAAUCUGGACGGGACCCCCACCCCUGCUGCCUGGACUGUACAACCCCGUGUACCCUCAUAGAGCAGUGCAGAUACUGUAGUCCCGUCGCCAGUUUCCUUCACUGCCUACCUACGAGUGUCUCGGAAACGUUUCACUCAACAUGUGCGUCGACACUCCAACAUGCCAUCCAACAUAGAGUCUGCCUCCCAUGGCUCGACAUACGACCGUUCACGGUCUCCUACACCACCCUUACCGUCGCCUGCUUCGACCUCUUCGUCUGCAGCAUCACCCGUAACGAGUUUCCUGUCUCUUCUACCAUCUACAUCGACAAUUCCAGCGCCGCCGAUGUAUCCGGCACCUCUGAUGACUCCGACGCCUCUGACUCUGGCGUCUCUGAUGACUACGGCGCCUCUGAUGUAUCUGGCGCCUCUACCUCCAGUGCCUCUGACUACUUCGGCGCCUUUGACUUGUGCGGCGCCACCUACGUAUGGACAUGCCCUCCUGUCAUUGUUUAUAGAUCCAUCUUGGAUGCAAGCUUGGAUGCAGUCAUUGUUUACGCAAGCUACUCCCGCCUCAGUGGCGGCCCCGACUACAGAUACUUCAAUUCCUGCGGGCCCCUCUCUUCGGGUGCUCAUCGGUCUCGAUCGUCGUACACCUCGUCGCCUCCGACUCCUUCUCGGCACUCAUCCAAGUCAGCUCGAUCCCGUCGCCGUUCUCGUAGUCGCUCACCCGUACAUAGACGUCGACGUUGUUCCUCCUCAUCGGAAGGAUCAUUUCGACCCGAUUAUGACCCUCCAUCUCCCUAGAUUGAUACACACUUGGGCCUAUCACAGGUUGCUGAUUGGCUAGCGGACCGUUUGACCUCCGUCGCUCCCUCCCCGGGCUCCGAUGUCGACAAAAAAUCGACGAUUUGGUCUAACCCGACUUCGCUUCCACCCGACCCAAUAGGGGGUGUAAGUAGGUCACGGGACUACGCGAGACCUAACGUUAUUUAGUACUUCCGGUGACAAACAACGUCUUGCAGCAAUGGCGGCAGCAGUGUCACGUCGGGCAGGGCCCGGCAAAUCAUAUUUGGAAAACGCAGGUGUAACUUAAAAAAACAUGACACUGUCACAGUCAUUAAAACACUCGAGAUGGGGAACAUGAAUAGCAAGUGUUGGCUUGUCAAAGCAGUUGCAGUGUUGUCAAGACGUCCUAUGGUUGAUGUCAAACUGGCCGCUACCCAUUCAUAAAUAUUGAGUUGGACCAUAUUUCCAUGUUUGAGGGGAGAAAGAUUUCCUCAUCUUACUCACGAGUAGAUGCAUAUGGAUCACCAGAAUUACCUUGAUGCCAAGCAUAACUGCACCUCAAGAGCAUCUCAGACUAUAACAUAUCUUCAGAUUUCUUGGAAUAUUUUGUGGUCAAGCAUUACAUUGCCUAUGAAAGAACAACUCUUGUUGUGUAUACAUAUUAACAUAUUAAAGUUCUAUCUGAACAUUUUGCUGAAGUAUUGGCUCUGUAAAUGAUGUCUGUGACCAUCAGAAUACACCAUAUACACUGGACACUUGCUGGAACAGGACCUACUUGUCAUCAACAUGGUGUUGCAGAACAUCUUGGGACUCUCCCAUAAAGUCCAGUGUGAAUCUAGAUACUGACACCAGUAACAGUGCAUGCUGGCACAUUUAUUUGUUCAGGCUUGGCAUUUGGGAAUAUUUUCCAUGAAUGUUUAAUACUCAUGACCUUGAAAUAUAAUUAUUGAAUAGA